CCCUUAGAUGUUCUGGGCCGCACGCGUGCUACACUGAGUGGAUCAGCGGGUCAGGUUGCGCGAAAGCGUUUCCUAAUCUUUGAAUCCGCUCGUGAUGGGGAUUGACGGUUGCAAUUUUCUGUCAUGAACGAGGAAUACCUUGUAAGCGCGGGUCAUCAUCCCGCGCUGAAUACGUCCCUGCCCUUUGUACACACCGCCCGUCGCUCCUACCGAUUGAGUGGUCCGGUGAGGCUUUGGGAUCUGAGCGGAAAGAGCGUUUCGCUGUUUCUGCCCGGAAAACUCAGUCGAACCUUAUCAUUUAGAGGAAGGAGAAGUCGUAACA
rnacentral:rRNA from 1 species